CCCACCCCACCGACCACCCAAAUCAACACUUCUUCUCCCCACGCACCUGCCCCACCACCGGCUCAUCUUUCUUUCACCCCGACAUUCGCGUAGUGCAAUUCUCCUCCAAUUUCACUAUUCCUAUGGCAGUGGAUCUGCAAUUUGAACAAAGACGGUGACGGCGGUGCUCGACGGUCCAGAAGGCGGCGGUGGUGCGAGAUCGGCCAGAGAGCGAAGGUGGUGCUCGACGGUCCAGAAGGC
rnacentral:lncRNA from 1 species